AGAGUUUGAUCAUGGCUCGAGGACGAACGCUGGCGGCGUGCUUAACACAUGCAAGUCGAACGAGGGUUAUUAGGUAGCUUGCUACAGGGUAACCCGAGUGGCGGACGGGUGAGUAACGCGUGAAUAAUCUGUCCUAUACAGGGGGAUAACGCAUCGAAAGAUGUGCUAAUACCGCGUAGGACCACGGGAUCGCAUGAUUCUGAGGUGAAAGACGAAAGUCAGUAUAGGGUGAGUUCGCGUCUGAUUAGAUAGUUGGUGAGGUAACGGCCCACCAAGUCAACGAUCAGUAGCCGACCUGAGAGGGUGAUCGGCCACAUUGGGACUGAGACACGGCCCAGACUCC
rnacentral:rRNA from 1 species